UACGGAGGGUGCAAGCGUUGUCCGGAAUCACUGGGCGUAAAGGGCGCGUAGGCGGCCUGGUAAGUAGGGGGUGAAAUCCUGCGGCUUAACCGCAGGGCUGCCUUCUAAACUGUCAGGCUUGAGCACGGUAGAGGCAGAUGGAAUUCCCGGUGUAGCGGUGGAAUGCGUAGAGAUCAGGAAGAACACCGGUGGCGAAGGCGCUCUGCUAGGCCGCAACUGACACUGAGGGACGAAAGCUAGGGGAGCGAAUGGG
rnacentral:rRNA from 1 species